CAGCCAGACUGAUGCUGAGGUAAUACACUAUGGAGAGGGGACACAGCCAGACUGAUGCUGAGGUAAUACACUAUAUAUGGAGAGGGGACACAGCCAGACUGAUGCUGAGGUAAUACACUAUGGAGAGGGGACACAGCCAGACUGAUGCUGAGGUAAUACACUAUGGAGAGGGGACACAGCCAGACUGAUGCUGAGGUAAUACACUAUGGAGAGGGGACACAGCCAGACUGAUGCUGAGGUAAUACACUAUGGAGAGGGGACACAGCCAGACUGAUGCUGAGGUAAUACACUAUGGAGAGGGGACACAGCCAGACUGAUGCUGAGGUAAUACACUAUGGAGAGGGGACACAGCCAGACUGAUGCUGAGGUAAUACACUAUGGAGAGGGGACACAGCCAGACUGAUGCUGAGGUAAUACACUAUGGAGAGGGGACACAGCCAGACUGAUGCUGAGGUAAUACACUAUGGAGAGGGGACACAGCCAGACUGAUGCUGAGGUAAUACACUAUGGAGAGGGGACACAGCCAGACUGAUGCUGAGGUAAUACACUAUGGAGAGGGGACACAGCCAGACUGAUGCUGAGGUAAUACACUAUGGAGAGGGGACACAGCCAGACUGAUGCUGAGGUAAUACACUAUGGAGAGGGGACACAGCCAGACUGAUGCUGAGGUAAUACACUAUGGAGAGGGGACACAGCCAGACUGAUGCUGAGGUAAUACACUAUGGAGAGGGGACACAGCCAGACUGAUGCUGAGGUAAUACACUAUGGAGAGGGGACACAGCCAGACUGAUGCUGAGGUAAUACACUAUGGAGAGGGGACACAGCCAGACUGAUGCUGAGGUAAUACACUAUGGAGAGGGGACACAGCCAGACUGAUGCUGAGGUAAUACACUAUGGAGAGGGGACACAGCCAGACUGAUGCUGAGGUAAUA